rnacentral:rRNA from 1 species
UACUGAGUGGCGAACGGGUGAGUAACACGUGGGUGAUCUGCCCUGCACUUCGGGAUAAGCCUGGGAAACUGGGUCUAAUACCGGAUAGGAGCCAUUCUUAGUGUGAUGGUUGGAAAGUUUUUUCGGUGUAGGAUGAGCUCGCGGCCUAUCAGCUUGUUGGUGGGGUAAUGGCCUACCAAGGCGGCGACGGGUAGCCGGCCUGAGAGGGUGGACGGCCACAUUGGGACUGAGAUACGGCCCAG